UCGCCGCGGUAAUACCAGCCCUGCGAGUGGUCGGGAUGUUUAUUGGGCCUAAAGCGUCCGUAGCCGGCCCGGUAAGUCCUCCCUCAAAGCCUCAGGCUCAAACCUGAGGAAGGGGAGGAUACUGCCGGGCUAGGGGGCGGGAGAGGCCGGGGGUACGUCCCGGGUACGGGGCGGAAAUACCGUUAAUCCCGGGACGGACCUCCAGUGGCGAAGGC
rnacentral:rRNA from 1 species